rnacentral:rRNA from 1 species
GAUGAACGCUGGCGGCGUGCCUAAUACAUGCAAGUCGAGUGAACGGACGAGAAGCUUUCUUCUCUGAUGUUAGCGGCGGAAGUGUGAGUAACACGUGGAUACCCUACCUAUAAGUCUGGGAUAACUUCGUGAAACCGGAGCUAAUACCAGAUGAUAUUUUGAACCGCAGGGUUCAAAGGUGAAAGACGGUCUUGCUGUCACUUAUAGAUGGAUCCGCGCUGCAUUAGCUAGUUGGUAAGGUAACGGCUUACCAAGGCAACGAUGCAUAGCCGACCUGAGAGGGUGAUCGGCCACACUGGAACUGAGACACGGUCCAGACUCCUACGGGAGGCAGCAGUAGGGAAUCUUCCGCAAUGGGCGAAAGCCUGACGGAGCAACGCCGCGUGAGUGAUGAAGGUCUUCGGAUCGUAAAACUCUGUUAUUAGGGAAGAACAUAUGUGUAAGUAACUGUGCACAACUUGACGGUACCUAAUCAGAAAGCCACGGCUAACUACGUG